CUACGGGCGGCUGCAGUGAGGAAUAUUGCACAAUGGGGGGAACCCUGAUGCAGCAACGCCGCGUGGAGGAUGACGCAUUUCGGUGUGUAAACUCCUUUUAUAUGUCAAGAAAAUGACGGUAGCAUAUGAAUAAGCACCGGCUAACUCCGUGCCAGCAGCCGCGGUAAUACGGAGGGUCAAGCGUUACUCGGAAUCACUGGGCGUAAAGGACGCGUAGGCGGGUUGGAAAGUCAGGUGUGAAAUCCUACAGCUUAACUGUAGAACUGCACUUGAAACUUCUAAUCUAGAGUAUGGGAGGGGGGGAUGGAAUUAGUGGUGUAGGGGUAAAAGCCGUAGAUAUCACUAGGAAUACCGAAAGCGAAGGCGAUCUCCUGGAACAUUACUGACGCUAAGGCGUGAAAGCGUGGGGAGCAAACAGGAUUAGAUACCCUAGUAGUC
rnacentral:rRNA from 1 species